rnacentral:rRNA from 1 species
GACGAACGCUGGCGGCGUGCUUAACACAUGCAAGUCGAACGGAAAGGCCCUGCUUGCAGGGUACUCGAGUGGCGAACGGGUGAGUAACACGUGGGUGAUCUGCCCUGCACUUCGGGAUAAGCCUGGGAAACUGGGUCUAAUACCGGAUAGGAGCCAUUUUUAGUGUGAUGGUUGGAAAGUUUUUUCGGUGUAGGAUGAGCUCGCGGCCUAUCAGCUUGUUGGUUGGGUAAUGGCCUACCAAGGCGGCGACGGGUAGCCGGCCUGAGAGGGUGGACGGCCACAUUGGGACUGAGAUACGGCCCAGACUCCUACGGGAGGCAGCAGUGGGGAAUAUUGCACAAUGGGCGCAAGCCUGAUGCAGCGACGCCGCGUGGGGGAUGACGGCCUUCGGGUUGUAAACUCCUUUCGCUAGGGACGAAGCUUUUUGUGACGGUACCUAGAUAAGAAGCACCGGCUAACUACGUG